AGCUCCAAUAGCGUAUAUUAAAGUUGUUGCGGUUAAAACGCUCGUAGUUGGAGUUCUGCCAAAAGUGGCCGGUCUACCCUCCGUGGUUUGCACAGGGCAACUUUCGGCAUCAUCCUGGGAAACUUGUAUGCACUUUACUGUGUGACCUUGGGAUCCAGGACUUUUACUUUGAAGAAAUGAGAGUGUUUCAAGCAGGCGAAUGCCUUGAAUACGUUAGCAUGGAAUAAUAGCAUCGGACCUCUUCCCAACGCUGUUGGUUCAUUGGAGUGAGGUAAUGAUAAACAGGGAUAGCUGGGGGCAUUCGUAUUUAACUGUCAGAGGUGAAAUUCUUGGAUUUGUUAAAGACGAACUACUGCGAAAGCAUCUGCCAAGGAUGUUCUCA
rnacentral:rRNA from 1 species